GCCAUAAUUAGUGCCAGCGCGCUCUCGGCCAAGUCUGGCAGAAGCGGAGGAGCCGCCGCUGCCAGACUUGGCCGAGAACGCGCUGGCACUAAUUGGGGC
rnacentral:pre_miRNA from 1 species